CAACGCACACACCCUUGCUUCUUAAAGAGUCGGGGGCUGUGCAUGUUCCUCACCGUAUUGCGAUCCAUCAAACAGUCUCAUUCAACCCCUCACAAAAGAUCUAGAACGUAAGAGAUAUGAUUGAUGAUGAAGCCCUGGGAGUCAUUGCCAAUUUUCUCGGCAUCUUGAUUUUUGCUUUGGUUAUAGCUUAUCACUUAGUCACAGCAGACCCCAAAUAUGAAGCCAGCUAAGAUAUAUACUUUGAAUUUUAUCUCUGAUAUGUAUUCAGUUUUGCUGAUUGAAAGGUUCUAUGUAUGACUUUUUGAUGAAACUAGAAUUUGAUUGAGGCUUAUCAUACCGGCUGAAUCUUCAAUACUUUGGAGUCGAAUGUUAACCAUGUUUUUGUAUAUCUAGAUUAGCUAUGGAUGCUUAAUGGUACAAUGCGCACGGAAUUGUUUGAAUGAACUAAUUGAGAAUGUGAAUUGUUGAUUGACCCUUAUUAAAUAUUUCCCUUGUGCACCAAAAUUGUAGAGGAAAGAUAAGUACAUUAAUGCAACAGAACAGACAUUUUACUAGAAAGCAAAUGGGAAAAAUGUUAUUUUACGAUGCUCCAUUACAUGGGGCUACUUGGCAUAGUUCACUCAAUCAAUGUACAGCAAACUAAGUAACUAAACAUGGUGGGAAUUGAAAGCUAGUGCUGUGGUGUGAACCUUUGUUUUACUGCAGAAUUGCACAUAAGCAAUAUUAGCUACGCUAUAUGUAUCUGCUCUGGUGCAUGUAUACGUUGUAGCAAAUUAAUAAUGGAACUACCUAAUGUAGGAUUGGUAAUUGUGGGAGGAACUGGUGGAGAAGGGUGGAAGUGUGGGAAUGAAGGGUGAAGGCAACCUAUACUCAGGCCAGUCAGCUAUUGGAGGGAAUGAAGAUAAAUCACGCGGACAGGAGAAUUCCCAAUGUUGGGCAAUGUUGAUGGCACAAAAUUUCUUGGGGUUAAAUUGGUAUGGAGAUAUUUCUAAGGAUUGUUUGAGAAUGUCUGAGUUGUUUGUGGGGAGGGGAGGGACUUCUUGUUAGAGAGCGAGUAGUAGUAAAAGGUUCUAUAUUGGAUAGAAUGUACAGAUUGUUCAACAUGCACAGCUUAUAGCAUUUGAAGACUUCAGUUUUCAAGAAGUUGAAUGUAACUUUGCAGAAACAUCUUUAAACUCAAUGUAGUUCGGAGGAUGCAGAAUGCUUUCCAGAACAUAGGUUUAUAGUAGUUUGCUUCCGUGGUGGAGAUGUGAAUUUUCGUAUCUAAUAAUUGGAAGUCAAUAGCUUAAGCCUCUGCAUUUUUUCAAGAGAAUUGGGGUGAUUUCUUUAGUUUUGUGUUUUUAAAUUUUGGGUUGGAUGAAGUGCAGAUAGAUUUACCUGUGCGAUUUUGCUUAUAGCAUAUUUAUGAAAAAAAAAAUCGGGUUCUUCCCUAUAGAUGUACAUCGUGCAUUUUAUUGGUGUUCUGUCUUUCAUUUAGCUAUUUUGUUUCCGUGGCGAGAGUGGAGGAAUAGUUUGAGAGUUUGAGUAUCAGGAGAAGAAAACGAUGGAUAUUUAUUUCCUAUUUUUGUCUUCAAUAUUAGAAGAGUUUAAAGAAGAGAACAGUGAUUGUAUUAUAUCUCAUGCAUUGUAUGAAUAACAUCUUGAUAUGUUACUUUAUUUCUCAUCUCCUUCAUUAUGCUUAAUCAUAAGUAUAUAUCGGUG
rnacentral:sRNA from 1 species